GCAGCUGGGGAGUCUGGGAGGCACCGGGAAGGGCUGGCUGAUGGAGCUGUGGCCUGUGGGCGAGGGGUGAAGCAGGAGGCAGCACUGGGGUGCGAGGGAAGGGGGACAGCGCCGGCGGGGUCUGAGGGCCAGGGCGAGGUGGAGCAGGAGUGGGGCACAGUGCGUCUUGUGUCCCCACGGCCUGGAGAAGUGUGUGGAGCGAUGUCCUCCGGGCAGCGGCCGAUUGCAGAAGCCUCGAGUGCCCCUGCACUUGGGGAUGGGGGAGUGGAGCCAAGGGGGAGGGUGUCUGCAGGGGGUGAGGGGCUGUGGCCGGGCACCCAGCUGCAGCGGGCAGCCCGGGGCACAGGGGCAGUGGGGGGCAAGGAUGGGCCACCGGAGGGGGCAGAGCAGGCAGGAGUGAAAGCCGAGGAGGAACAGCCAGGCCUCUGUGAAAACACCGAGGGAGAGGUAGCGAGUGCCUGGGCGAGUGCAGGGAGCGCUGCUGGGGUCAGGGAGCCGAGGAAGGACAGUCCCGUCGGAGGGAGCGCCGGCACCCUGGCAGCUGAUGUGGGCGAGAGGAGCCGCGGUCCCUGAGAGGAUGCUUUAAACCCAGCUGCAGUUGUGGUGCCCUCAGUACAGCCAAAGGAUGGGGAAGAAACUCUCCUCUGAGCUUUUUCUGCAGCUCCUUCAGUGCCGUGUCCUGCAACAUCUACACAAAUCGCUGUGGAUUUGUGCCAGUUGGGAUGUUCACUUCUUUAUUUCACUCUGCAAGUACUGCAACCAUCUGUCUCGUUUUACUAGAGCAGCUUCUCAGUGUGUGGCAGACAACUGAAAUAAGCCUGUAUAUGCCAGCCCAGGAAAAAGCACUCCAUAAUUAUGAAGAUAAUAAUCGCAAGGCUUGUGCCACAGCUGUCAUGCUUGUUUUUCCCAAAACAGCAAAAUAUUGGACUGGCUGAACCUCCCCUCCUCCCCUAGACAGCGCUUGCUUCUGCUGGCUGGUGGGAGGGAGGGCUGAGGGCAGAUGUGCCGUACGUGUUUCCAUAGGGCAAGGAGCGUGUCUGUGAAGAGUGCCUGUGUUUGUGUGUCUCUGUGUGCUGGCUGCAUUUUUCUGCGUGUCAUUUACCUUCCUGAACCACAGGCUCUUCGCCCCAAGUUGGGGCCGUGUCUUCACUGCUGUGCGUAGGGACAUGCUUUGGUUCUGGUAAGAGCAUCCGGGGGUGCUCGGCAGAGGUGUGGAACAGCAGCGUUGCUGGGGGAAGGGUGGCCUCGUGCAGGGGUGUUUAGCUUGGGGGCUGCGGCCACCCACCUGCCAGGCCAGGGAGCCCUUCCCCGGUGCCGGGCGGGUGGUGCAGGGGGCUUCGUGGGAAUCCGGGCUUGCUGCUGGCCAUGCUUCAAGGCAUUCUUGGGACCUUGAAAUGUUGUUGAAAAUUGCUAAAUCGAAACCGUUCUAAUGUUUGUCACUGAAUAAAGCCUGGCCUUUUGCUUUUGC